UGCGAAGGGGGCUAGCGUUGCUCGGAAUUACUGGGCGUAAAGCGCACGUAGGCGGCUCUUUAAGUCGGGGGUGAAAUCCUGGAGCUCAACUCCAGAACUGCCUUCGAUACUGGAGAGCUUGAGUUCGGGAGAGGUGAGUGGAACUGCGAGUGUAGAGGUGAAAUUCGUAGAUAUUCGCAAGAACACCAGUGGCGAAGGCGGCUCACUGGCCCGAUACUGACGCUGAGGUGCGAAAGCGUGGGGAGCAAACAGG
rnacentral:rRNA from 1 species